GUGUUGGGAAUGGCGGGAGCGACAGAAGAUUACUGGUAAAGAAGUUGAUAAACAAAGAAACGGCAAAAACAUCCAAAAGAAGAAACCAUACAAAAUCUGAAGAAGAAGAAGACGGAGAUCUAGGUCUUCAUCUUCUUCUGAGAUCAACACGAAACCCUAACAUAACUCUUUUGUUUUUUUAUUCUUUUUCUCUCCCUCUCUAGUUUUUGGAUCUAUGGAUGGAGUUCCACGAUCUCCAACUGAAGAAGAAAAACGUUUGUUGCUACUAAAACGGAUACAACAGCUUGAAUCUGAAAAUGCACAUCUUCAACGACAAUUCUCCAAUUUGGCUCAUUCCAGAUUACCAAGAUGUCACUCAAAUGCACCUCACCAAUCGCAAUUGGCUCACUCAAACAGAAAUUAUCCCGGUACCAGUCGUGAUUCUCGAACUAUACUACCAGCAAACGGUUUCUUGAAUUUUAGUCAGAAGCAGUAUUUUGGUAUCUUGGAGUCAUUGGGUCAAUCAGUUCAUAUUGUAGAUCUCAGGGACCGCAUUGUGUACUGGAAUAAAGGGGCGGAAAAACUAUAUGGUCAUUCUGCUUCUGAAGCGCUUGGUCAUAGUAAUGUUAAGCUCCUAACUGAUGUCCAAUACUAUGAUGAUGCAAUUGAGAUUAUAUCAAAUAAUACCGCUGGCCAAAAAUACACUGGGACAUUCCCUGUGAAGAAUAAGCUAGGGACACGAUUCGUAGUAAUUGUAACGAAUAGCCCAUUCUAUGACGAUUUUGGAAAUUUAGUUGGGGUCGUUUCUUGUUCUGUUGACUCGAAACCCUUUCACCGAGAAACUCGAUGUCAGUCUUCAAAAUUCUAUCCCAGUUCCAGCUCUUGUCAGCCUACAAGUGGGUUGGCAAAUAAGUCAGAUGUUGAUUCUCAUUUGCCUCUGCAAGCUGGGAUUGCUUCUAAAAUAUCAAAUUUGGCAUCUCGAAUGACCAACAAAAUCAGGUCAAAAAUGAAGACUGGUGAUAAUGCCUUGGUUAAUGAAAGCCGGAGAAGAGAUGGCCAGUAUUUUAAUCAAAGCCUCUCAGAAACUGUUCUCUCUGGCCAUAGGAAGGAUCCAACUUUUAGUGAAGCUGGCCCGUCUAGAGGAGACAUUCCACCAUCUCCCUUGGGUGUUUCUUUUGAAGAUACGCCUGGAGAAAAUUUCAGUACUUCUGGGGGUGAAGGUGAAGGCGAAGGCAAAAUUGGGAUCCUCAAGGACAUAAGUUCUAGGGCAGAGGCUUGGAUUAGCAAGAAGAGCAUGUCAUGGCAAUGGUUGGAUCAUGAACGCGAACCUGACUUCGAUCAAAAAAAUUGUUCUGGUAACUACGAAAAAACAGAAAUCCAGGUUGCAGAAAAUGACCCAUUUGGGAAUGAAGCGUCUACUUCAAUGUCCUCAUUUUCUCAUGCCAACAGCACCAGUACUAUAAGUAGCAGCGUCAGUACUAGCAGUAGUCCUCUUAAUAAGUUUGAUGCGGAAACAGAUUCUUUGCAUUUUGAUAUCAUGUGGGAAGACUUGGCAAUCGGUGCACAAAUAGGGCAUGGUUCAUGCGGAACUGUGUAUCGUGGUUUAUGGUGUGGCUCGGAUGUUGCAAUAAAAGAAUUUUUCAAGUUUGAGUACUCGGAUGACUUACUGCAUUCUUUCAGGCAAGAGGUGUUACUUAUGAAGAGACUACGACAUCCGAAUGUGCUACUUUUCAUGGGAGCAGUGACUUCACCUCAGCAUAUUUGCAUUGUCACGGAGUACCUCCCAUGUGGAAGUUUGUUUCAGUUGCUUCGACGUAACACUGCAAGAUUAGAUUGGAGGCGCCGCGUUCUCAUGGCUGUGGAUAUUGCACAAGGUAUGAAUUACCUUCAUCGCUGCAACCCACCAAUUAUCCAUCGUGAUUUGAAGUCAUCGAAUUUGCUGGUUGAUAAGAACUGGAAUGUGAAGGUUGGUGAUUUUGGUCUCUCACGACUCAAACAUGCAACAUAUCUCACAACAAAGACAGGGAAAGGAACGCCACAGUGGAUGGCUCCAGAGGUUAUUCGUAGUGAGCCCUCAGACGAGAAGUCUGAUGUUUAUAGCUUUGGAGUAGUGCUAUGGGAGCUUGCCACUCAAAUGAUCCCUUGGGAUACACUGAACCCGAUGCAGGUGAUUGGAGCUGUGGGUUUCAUGGACCGACGGCUUGAGAUUCCAGAGGACUUAAAUCCACUUUGGGCUUCUCUAAUUGAGAGCUGUUGGCACAGUGAUCCGAAAUGUCGACCAACAUUCGAGGAACUGCUAGAGAAGCUGAAAGCUCUACUAAGACAGUACUCAACUCAAAAGCCCAAAGCAAACAUUACGCUAGGUCAGGGGUAUUGAUAAAAGAAAAGGUUAUGUCAUGAUGGAUUUGAAUCACCACAUACAUUCUAGCACGUACGCCCAGAAAAGGAGAUAAAGGAAACAAGAAAGGAUAGCAGCAAGAAGUGGGUUCAUAUAAUUCCAUAAUGCUUUCAACUCCGGAACUGAGAUUCAAAGUUCUGAAAUUUCUUAGGUAAAAUGCCGAUUGUCUGGUGAAGAAAACUGAGUUUGAGAAGAGCAACUUCAACCCACUAUUAUUUGAAAGCAAUGACUGAAUUGAGCACGCACUUAAAGAAGGUAAGAAAGAGGUAUCAGGUCUGAAUCUUGUGGUAAUAUCCGUUGGCUUCAUGUGCUAGGUAGUAGAGUUGCUUAUUGCUUUAAAUAUUGAGCAACUAGUUUAAGAUUCUAUUAAUUACACAGAGCAGCUAGUUUGCUAACACUCAAGUAUAGAGAUGGCUGAUUUUGUCAUUUAUUCUAAAUGCUAGUGUGGGGAGGAAAACUCAAAAUAUGAUUAGGCAAAUUUGAAGAAGAGGACGAAGUUCU